rnacentral:lncRNA from 1 species
CGCGCCGUGGAGUCAUGUCCCAAUACUGUUUAAAUGUAGCUUAAGGGGUAGGGGGAGGGCUAACAUCCCCUCAAAAUUGAGAUUUUCGAUGGGCACCCUCAAAGCGAUUCAGUUCUGACUUGCUCCCACAAUACCUUGCGAGAAAACGGAAAAUAAAGAAAUAUCCUAGACAAGAUGGAGGACGAAAAGAUGCGACAGGAUUGGAAAAACACAAAUUCGGACCUUGAUGCUGUGACAACGGACAAGUCUUCUUCCUCUGUCCUUUUCCCCUGCCUCUGUUCAGUAUGUUCAGUCAUUUCUCUUUUUUUUUUAUUAGUUACUGUUCUUAUUGUGUUCUUGUUAGUGUGAUGUUUGAAUAAACUUGCCUGUUGCAAUGUUGGUAUAAUGUUUGUAUAAUUACUGUUAUACAACUGUUACUGUUUCAAUGUGACCCAGACCAUAUUUCUCAUUUAACAAACAUGUGUAUCUUAUAAUGUGUUGCAUGGCAGAGCAAUUAAGGUAUAUUCAAUGGCUUAAAACAAACCCAUCUGUAAAGAUCAGUGAAUGCAUAGAAAUCAAUGACAAGUGGUGUAGAUGGUUUUCCCUCUGUGCAAGGUCAUUAGCCCAAGUCCUACAAAAAAAUAACGACUGUAAUAGCAGAUGUUGAAGUUGUUAAAUCGUUAACUAACCAUUUGUAUGGAACAAUCGGUUAAGGUAAGUUAAGUGCUUGAGUCUCGACACUUGAGAGCGCGCAACUUGAAUAAGCCAUGUGCGAUAUUACCCGGGCUCCAGCGCAACUUUCCUUACCAGGUUAAGCCUCAGGUAGCCUAGGACCGGAGCACGCAAGAACGUUACCUUUUUCUGUCCUUGGUAAACGAAAAGACGGAUAAUCCGUUUCCACUGUAAGUGCAGUUUAUCAUUGCACAUUUACGAGGCAUUUCUUUUUUAAACUAUCUUUAUUUUCGAAAAAUAGACAAUGACAGAUUAAAUGAUAUUGAGCGGGAUAUUGACUGUAUUAUUUAAGGUGGUCAUACCGUAGCCUACCUACCAUGUAUAUAACACAUUGAACAUUGAACACAAGAAAUGGAAGAAAUUCCAUUUAUGCCCAUGUACUUUCACCAUACAUACUAUCUAAAAAAUAAAAGGACCUGCAGGAAAAUAUAAAUACAGUACUCAAAAAUUGAGUUAACACGUUUCUGAUUGCUCUUCAGCUUCAGAUGCCGUAAGAGGGGUCUCUGGUCGUAAUCAGUCGCAAGUCCGUCCCUG